GACGAACGCUGGCGGCGUGCUUAGCACAUGCAAGUCGAGCGGUAAGGCUCCUUCGGGAGUCCACGAGCGGCGAACGGGUGAGUAACACGUGAGUAAUCUGCCCUUCACUUCGGGAUAACCACCGGAAACGGUGGCUAAUACCGAAUACGACCAGUCUUCGCAUGAGGUGCUGGUGGAAAGUCUUUUCGGUGAAGGAUGUGCUCGCGGCCUAUCAGCUUGUUGGUGGGGUAAUGGCCUACCAAGGCUUCGACGGGUAGCCGGCCUGAGAGGGUGACCGGCCACACUGGGACUGAGACACGGCCCAGACUCCUACGGGAGGCAGCAGUGGGGAAUAUUGGACAAUGGGCGAAAGCCUGAUCCAGCAACGCCGCGUGAGGGAUGACGGCCUUCGGGUUGUAAACCUCGUUCAGUACCGACGAAGCGCCCUGUCGGGUGGUGACGGUAGGUACAGAAGAAGGACCGGCCAACUACGUG
rnacentral:rRNA from 1 species